rnacentral:lncRNA from 1 species
ACCCCUUGAGUGGGGUGGGAGAGAUCCUAGGAAAACAUGAGUGGGCUGGGGAAAAACUAGAAACCCUUUUCUUGAGAGCAGUCUGUGAUAAGGCUGACUUUAUUUGUAUGUAAGUAAAUGGAGAAAACGCUCUCUUAGCAGAUAAGGUUUUAAUCAGUCUUAAAUACUAUCUCAUACAAUGUGCUGAAUGGAACUGGUGGAGGGACAACUUGAACUGAACUGUAACCUUCAAUAGCAAGAAGCUUGGUGUCCCUUUGAAGAGGGAUGUCUUCUGCUUUGUUGCCUUCUUGCUGAAGUGGAAUGGCGGAGGAGAACUUCCCGGUCUAACUCUGUUUUCUUCUCAGCGUCUGCCCCCAGAAUGCUGGUAGGUAAGUUCAGUUCUGUGGGGUGGGCAGCGGGUGAUGCUGGCUCUGUGGGAGAGAAGAAUGAGUGGUCAAAGAGGGGUUCUGGGAAGGACUGUGGGUGGGAAUGCUCUGCGUUAGGGGUGGGGACUGGGAUGCCUGGGAGUAUCUGCCCUGAAAACAGGGCUGCGCUGGCUAUUUCUGUGCUUGGGCCUGCCUGGCUGGCUGGUGGCACUUAGCUUAUUGAUCUUGGGGAAUGGGAGAGGGGAGAACAAGGGCCCCUUUGCAAUUGGUGGCAGGUUUUGUAAGCAAAUUCAGGAGGGAGACAGAACAAACAUUGUCAAAUGUUACCUCUUUCAAAAGGACCAUGUAUCAGGCUCACUUGACUUGCCCAAUGAAAUGGCUUGGUGCAUUUCUCUGGUGCCUGUAUGGUUGCAGCUGCGUUGCAGGAGUUUCUCCAACUUGGUGGAACUCCCUGAGCAUGGAGUGGUGCUGCCUUCAGAAAGCAACCUGGAUGAGUUUGCUGAGGACUAUCUCUGGUUUCUCGCUGGGUGACUCGAGCUGGUGCUUCUUGGCCGAACCCUGUGCAUCCAGCCUUGAAUAAGACACAAGCCUGGGUCAGAAGGGACCUACAUGCCCUUGUUCUGAUGAGUCUGCAAAACCUCAGUGUGCUGCCUCUGAGAGCAGUGUCCAAACCCUUCUCCAACUCAUCCACUCUGGGGCUGUGCCUGCAGCCUGCCUGCCCUCUGCUGAGUUAACUUCUCAUCAGCUGCAGUGUGACCCUCCCUGAUGCAGCUCUGCACUGUUCCUUCCUAUCCAUCCCUGCUCUUACAGAGCAGAGCUCAACACAGGACCUUGGCGGCUUCUUGUAGCUCUCACCCUCUGGCCCCCUCACCUUUUUUGCAUUGUAGAAUCAUGCCUGUGGCAACAGCCUGCUAUGGAAGAUCGUCCAGUACAACUGCCAACCCAUCACCCCCACACCAUUUAAGAACUCGGUGCACUGCUUACCCUUUCCUGGAAUGCCUCUGGUGAUGCAGACUCCUGGGCCAGCCUGUCCCACGCUUGCUCUUGGCCAACUUCAUGCGGUGGGUGAACGUGCUGCCUGCUGCUGCGUGGAGAUGUUGCAUCCAAACCUUUCUACUCCUGAGGAGGCGAUGGUUCCUCAUCCUUCAGCAUCAUCUGCAAACAUACUUAACACACAUUUAAGUCUUGUAUCCUGGUCAUUUAUGGAAAAUAUGGAAAUACCAAAGAGAACUGGGCCGGCAGGGAAGCCCUGUGGCAUCUGACUGAUGCCUGCCUGCUGGCCUCCCACCCUCUCGAUUAUUCUGAUGCUUGGACCCUCCUUUGUACAGGGCUGAGGCUUCACUUUGCUUUUUCUUCAUUGGUUUCCUUGGAGUUGCACAAUUAGGAAGGGCCUUUCACUAACAUGGGCUUUAGUUUCUGCAUUUCCUUUCCUGACAAGGAUUUUCCUUACGUACGACAACAGGCAAUGUGGGCUGAGAUGUUUCCCUUUUGUAAUCCGUGUGCUUUCUUGCAGUUAUAGGGGUUACAAGAGACUGCUGUAGUUUGUUUGUAGUCCGCCCCUGCUGCCAUAGCAGGUUUAGGACAUCGCUGACCAGCAAUCAACUCACAGAGGCAAUCAAAAAGCAGAAGAUAGAGCAGUUGCUGAAUCAGAAUGUAUUGGACAGCUGAAGUUAACAGAGCUGUCCCUUGAGUAGAGGAACAUAAAAAGAUCAUUCUUUUGUCUGUAAUAAAGGCACAGCUGACUAGUAAAGAUUUUCUCCC